AGAACUCACACUUCUCCCCAACUCCAUCUCCAUCGGCCCUCUCAUUACUCUCAACACCCUCUUCCCCAUCUCCUUCACCGCCUCCGUCCUUCCCUCCCUCUCCACCACCUUCUCUGCCCCCACCUCCAUCGCCAACCCUCUAAACCUCCGUCCACUCCCUCUACUCAUCCCAUACAUUGCCACCGUGCACCAUUCCUCAUCCAUCCCCUUCUUCAUUAUCUCCACUAGCACAGCUACCGCCUCGGCAUCCAUCAUCGCCGCCCUCCCUUCCCCCACUCCGCCAAUUACGCCAUCAUCAGGGUAGUAGCUCUCCGAAUAAUUUGUUUGCAUAGUUACCUACAAUCGUAUACACUAUCUAGUCUCCAGGUAUUCUUCAUGACAUUAUUCACUUACCUUAGUUUUUUGUUUAAUUUCAAAGCUUUUCCUUUUCAUGUGAUUGUUUUUGCUAUGCUAACUCGGUUGUUACUUCCCCGGAUGACUGCUUGCUUACUAAAAUCUAAUGCCAGACCUACCUGUUUCCAAAUAUGCCUAGACUCAUAUACACUAUGAAAUCCCUAGGUACUCAUUCUUCAUAAAACUAUUUACUUGCCUUCUGAGUUUUCUUGAUUUUUUUUUAUACUGUUCCAUUUUGUGUCAUCUUUUUUGCCAUAUAUCUCAUUGUUAAUUUCCCCGUCAAAGAACUUCCUGAAAUCUAGUGUUAGACUUUUUUCUUUUAAUCUAUGCUAUGCUUGUCUAUAUCUAAAUUUACACAUACUAUGAAAUGUCUAUGUAUUCUUUAUAAAACCAAUCACUUGCCAUCAUCAAGUAUUCUGCUCUUCCAGAUUAUGUUAUAUGUUUUGAUGAAUAAACUAGUGUUACUUUUAAUGAUUGCUUGCUUGUUUUCAAGAUGUAGCAAACUAGUGUAUUCUCGCUUACCGGAGAUUCUCUCCUCACUCUCCCCAUGGUGUGUCUCUUCUCAUCUCUCUCGGUUUCUUGAUCGGUUCGGUUUUCUUGAUUGAUGGUUCAUGGCCCAGUCAAGUUUGUGGUCCCAAUUUUUACUUAUAUAUGAUUAUGAUUUAAGAAAUAGUGAAAAUUGGAUAUAAUUUAUUUAUUUUAUUUGUUUAUUUUUGGAAUAAACCCCAUAGUUAAUUUAUGUACAUGCUGUGAUUUUCCUUCAUGUUCAUCUCAGUUGCACAGGGUCUGAGAAACAAUUGUUGUCAUGCUUUUUUGUUUUUCUUUUCUUUUUUUUAUUGAAGUUUAGAAUAAAGAGGUCAUGAAUGAAUAGAAAUGAGAGCACUUGAGGGAGUACCUGGGUCAUCACAUUGCUCUCAAUGAUAAUGAAUUGAUUGUAUAUAUAUAUAUAUGUAUUGCAUUUGAGUUUUGAGCACCUACUAUGACAUCUCUAACUUAUGUAAUCUGUAUGAUAAAUUGUGCUUUUUUGCAGCAUUUGUGGCCAAAUUUAUAAUUUUUAUGAGGAUAUGCAGCGUUUGUGGCCAAAUUUAUAAUAUUACAUUAAGAUCCAAUGUUGCUCGAGAUAUUUGUUUCUUAUAUGGUUCGUUAUUACUUGAAACUUUGGGCAUAUUUGUGCCAUUUGGUCUGGGUGAGUUACUAUUUAUGGUUUAUGAAGACUGAUUUAUUUGAUUCUUGGCCAGGGAAUCGACGUGCUAAGAAUGUCGAGGGGGUAAUGUUUUAGUUGGAGCAGGAAGCUCAAAGUCAUUCCUAAUUUGAUUUUAUAUCAUCCUAGAGAGAGCUUCGCCUUGUCAUGUCAAUGAAUACCACUGUUAUUUCAUCGAUUAAUAAGAUCUAACUCAAGGCAUAUUAGCCAAACAUUUUGAGCACCUUCACAUCAUUUUCGGGUUAUGCGAAUUAAUAAAGUUGUUUACUACUCAUUGUCAUUUAUAGAAUAUUGUUUUAAUUCAUAGUUUAUUUUUCUAGUUUGGUACUUCUAGAGUUGCAUGUUUGUGCAUUGUGCAUUGAUGUAAAAUAUUAAAUAAUCUUUGAAGUUGAUUCUUUUACAAGUUUAGAUUUACAUAUUCAGUUAAAUGGUGUCAAAUAUUAGCUGGACUACUUGCCGAGAGACAAAAAUUGGGACCAUUUGCCCAAGUUCCGCCAUUUUGUAGCCGGCUUUUGAAUCAAGGUACACGAUUCAUGUGUUUUAAUUUGGAUGUUUGACACACUCAUCAAACCAAUUUAUUAUUAAGCAAGGCUUUAUUUCAUCUUUUAGAAUUUGAUGUCAAUAAGAGUGGGAAAUGGUGUGUGUGUGUGUGUGUGCGCACUUAACUUUGCCUAUAAAUUUUGAAAUUGAAGUUUAAGUCUUUAUUCAAGCAAAAUCAAUUCCAAUAAUGAAACAUUGCAUGUUAAUCAAUAAGAAACUUCAUGGGCAGUUUGUUUUGAUAAACUAAGUUGAUUUUCAUUCUUGAAGAUAUAUGUACUUGAUCAAGGAGUGUCCUAAAAACAAUGCAACAAAGUGAUGUGCUAAACAAUAUUUAUUAGUGUGAAAAUCAACUAUGAGCCGAAGAAAAGCAAUCAACUACAAGAAAGAUAAAACCACUUCUAUAUCAUUAUUAAAAAGACAUUUGACAUUUUCUGAGUUAAGUUCUAUCUUACUAUUUUCUUUAUGUUCUAAUCCUUUCUGCAUUACUUGGGUGUUGCACCAAGAGUUCUCAUAUUUAGAUUUAAGUUCUUAUUCAAAUGGUUCAUCUUGCCCUGUGGAGGCUGAUUUUUUUAGCAGACUCGUGGAAAAUGGUGCCACUGAAAGUUGCUCAGAUCAUGUGUCUCCUAUUGUUAUGGAAGAUGAUAUCCAGACAAGACAGGUAGCAGCAAAAAAUGUAGUAAGAAAUAUUACGCCUUCAAUUAAUGGCAUCUGGAAAGUUAAUGAUAAACUUGCUACAGCUCUCAUUCUGACUUUACAAGAACAUGAGCUUGGUCAACAUUUGCAGAAGACAACUAGUGAUCUACAGAUGAUAGUUAAGAACUUCCAAGUAGCCAGUGACGAUCUUCAUUUAAGACAUCAACUGUUAGCAGAUAAAGUCCGAAGCCAUCGAGAUAUUAAUGUGAAAAAGAAGGCUGAGCAUAAAUGGUUGUCAGAGGAACUUGCAAAAACUAUUGCGGAGUUGGAAGAAAGCAACAGUAAAUUGUCAAUUCUGAAGGCACAAAGAGAUGGUGUUCAAGGAGCACCUUUUCUUUUUCAAGCUCUAGGAUAUAAACAAGCUGGUGGAGAUAAGAUCAGAGAUAAACAAAAGAGUUGCAAGAUAUGGAGUUUACGUUUAAUGAGUUGAAGGUUGUCUUUGAUGAGCCUCAAAUGUCAUUGAUAGCAUAGAGUAGAGUAACUGCUAAUGACUUAAUUUUACUCUUGAACAAGAAUUAGUUUCUAGCUGGUUGGUAGAAAUUAAAGAGUCUACAUAAGGAAAGAAUAGAUAUACUGAACAAGCUAACCAAUGUAUAGGUUUGCUUUACUAUUUUGUUUGUGUUUCGAUUUUAACUUCAUUAUUAAACUGCUCCUGCUUAAAUUUACUUGUAUUCAAGCUAUAAUUGUGCCAUUUGUUGAUGUUUUCCCAUAAGACUUUGGUGAAUGUCAAGAGUAUACAAUCAUCCAAAGCUUUUUUGUUGCUGGCUGAACAGCUGGAAAAAUCCAAGUCAGAGGUGGACCAAUGCCGGAUAUCAUUGGAAAAACUACAGGUGGUAGCAGGUGGAAAGAGAGAAAUAUAUAUGGAAGGAAAAAGAAAUGAAUGUGAAAGUUGAUAUGGUUGAUGUUUAUCAACCUGGUAGUAUUGAUAUUGUUUUACUGAUUAUUAGAGUUUUUUUGUGACUUUUUUUGGUUUUCUUCCUCAGGUUGGUGAUUUCAGGGUUUCUAUUUGAUUUGGGUGAUCUCUGCUUUUGUUGAGCCUGGCAAGUAGAGGAGAUUACAAGAGUGAAGUUGCUGUGGAUAAAGGAAGCAUCAUGGGUAAAGUAAGUGCCAUCUUCUCAGUAUCCCAUUUUUCAACUCCAACCAACUUUAAAUGCUUAAUCUUCGAUUCAUAUAAUAUAUGUUGAAGUUCUGAGCAUUGUUGGUAAAAAUCCAGUCUUUUUCAAAUGAUGAUGUUUGAUGUUGUUGAUGAUCAUAGGAAGUCAGGCAUCUUUUAAGGUAAUCAAUUGUUGAAAUUCAAAUGAUAGCUGCCAUAAUAUUAUGUAAUCUGAGGUAUAAUGGAUCUGUGAACUCUUGGCAAGAGAUGCUUGGGGAUGAUGAGCGGUAGUUGGGUGAUGGAGCAGGAUGAUAAAAAAAACCAGCUUUGUGAGCACUGAACAAGGGGGCACAAAACAUGUUGGGUCAUUCACAAGCAGGUACGUUAUACAUAACGAAUGGCAAAUUGAAAAUUAGGUUGACAGCCAAACAUGUCAUAGACACUAAUAAAGCAAUUUGCAGAUGAGAAUAUGUCAAUGGUGUGUGUGUGUGUGCAUAAAUGUUUACUUGUGAUGUCACUAUAUUCACAAAUGAAUUCACCAGAUAAACAAUCUAAUGGUUGUGAUAUGUCAUAAUUAAUCGGUGGAAAAUCUAUUUUACAGUUGAUAAAGAAACCAACACAAGCAACAGUUAAAGUAGCUUUCACCAGGAAAGACAUUCUGCAAUCUUGUAUGGAGUGUUUUAAUGAGCAAAAGCUAUUACAUCUAAUGCACCUGAAUUGGUCACAUCUGAUGCAAUCUUGUAUGGAGUUUAUUGCCUUGGUGGAUGGGGAAGAGUAUCUCAUCUGAAUACUCUUCUUAUGGUUGUUUAUUUUUAGUUGCUUAUUAUGUUAUAUUUAUGAAGACAAGUUCUCAUUUGAAAUGUCUCACAUCAACCUUCUUUGGAAAAAGUCAAAAUCUCUGCCUACUCUCUAGCUUUAUGUAUGUUCAAAAACGAGUCUUAUAGUGUCACUGGCAUGCCAUAACAUCAAAUAUUUUUUUGCAGUGAGGAUUUACCUAUAAUUCUGACUUUUUUUUCUUUUGUUGCUAAAACACGUAUUGUUUUGCUGACAUACAGAGUUCUAGUUUUACCUCAUCCAAAUCUCUCAUUUUUCAAAAAUUGCCUCGACUUGGAGGCAAACCUUGCAUCUACUGGAAACACUGAUGGUGUUUGCAAAUGCUAGUAGGUUGUAUGAGUCAACUCUGGCCAUUUAUAAUCUAAGUACAAAAUUAUGGAAAAAAUUACUACAUGAUGGAAAUAAAGAUGUUUUUUUCUGUAUAAUCCUGUUUUAUUUUCAUUAAUUCAUUGAUGUUUUUAGCCAUAUUUUCACCAAUGUCUGCUCAAUUGUUAAUUUUUUU